rnacentral:rRNA from 1 species
AGCAGUAGCCGCGGUAAUACGUAGGGUGCAGGCGUUAUCCGGAAUUAUUGGGCGUAAAGAGCUCGUAGGCGGUUUGUCGCGUCUGCUGUGAAAACUGGAGGCUCAACCUCCAGCCUGCAGUGGGUACGGGCAGACUAGAGUGCGGUAGGGGAGAUUGGAAUUCCUGGUGUAGCGGUGGAAUGCGCAGAUAUCGGGAGGAACACCGAUGGCGAAGGCAGAUCUCUGGGCCGUAACUGACGCUGAGGAGCGAAAGCAUGGGGAGCGAACAGGAUUAGAUACCCCCGUAGUCCCUGUCUCUUAUAC